CAAAAACAUUGCUCUCAGCAACUAAUUGAGAGUAUGUCCUGCCCAGUGAAUUAUUCAACGGCCGCGGUAUCCUAACCGUGCAAAGGUAGCAUAAUCACUUGCCCAUUAAUUGUGGGCUAGAAUGAAAGGAUGAACGAAAUAAAGACUGUCUCUACAAGCCCCCUAAAAAUUAACCUCUAAUUGAAGAGUAUUAGAUAGCCCCGAAGGACAAGAAGACCCUAUAGAGCUUAAUUAAAAUAAAUAUAAAAAAUUUACUAAAAUUCGGUUGGGGCGACCAGGGAAAUACCUAUCAUCCCUUAAUACAAGAUAAAUUAAUCCACAUAUUGACCCUUAUUCAAGAUCACCAGAACAAGCUACCUUAGGGAUAACAGGCUAAUCUCACUUGAGAGUCCUUAUCAAUAGUGAGGUUUGGCACCUCGAUGUUGGCUUAGGGAAUCUAUAUGGCGCAAAAGUCAUAUAAAGAUGGUUUGUUCAACCAAUAAUACCCUACGUGAUCU
rnacentral:rRNA from 1 species